rnacentral:rRNA from 1 species
UACAGAGGUCUCAAGCGUUGUUCGGAUCAUUGGGCGUAAAGGGUGUGUAGGUGGCGCGCUAAGUCGGGUGUGAAAUUUCGGAGCUUAACUCCGAAACUGCAUUCGAUACUGGCGUGCUUGAGGACUGGAGAGGAGACUGGAAUUUACGGUGUAGCGGUGAAAUGCGUAGAUAUCGUAAGGAAGACCAGUGGCGAAGGCGGGUCUCUGG